rnacentral:rRNA from 1 species
GACGAACGCUGGCGGCGUGCUUAACACAUGCAAGUCGAACGCUGAAGCACCAGCUUGCUGGUGUGGAUGAGUGGCGAACGGGUGAGUAAUACGUGAGUAACCUGCCCUUGACUCUGGGAUAAGCCCGGGAAACUGGGUCUAAUACUGGAUGCUACAUGUCACCGCAUGGUGGUGUGUGGAAAGGGUUUACUGGUCUUGGAUGGGCUCACGGCCUAUCAGCUUGUUGGUGAGGUAAUGGCUCACCAAGGCGACGACGGGUAGCCGGCCUGAGAGGGUGACCGGCCACACUGGGACUGAGACACGGCCCAGACUCCUACGGGAGGCAGCAGUGGGGAAUAUUGCACAAUGGGCGAAAGCCUGAUGCAGCGGCGCCGCGUGAGGGAUGACGGCCUUCGGGUUGUAAACCCCUUUCAGCAGGGAAGAAGCCACAAGUGACGGUACCUGCAGAAGAAGCGCCGGCUAACUACGUG